AGUCAAGAAAGAAAGGGCACAAGGUGGAUGCCUUGGCACAUGAAGGCGAAAAAGGACGUAAGUGAAUACUAAGUGAAUACAUAGCUUAGUAAGGCGAUACCCUGCGAACUGAAACAUCUAAGUAGCAGGAGGAAAAGAAAGAAACAUCGAUUUUCUAAGUAGCGGCGAGCGAACGGAAAAGAGCCUAACUCAUUAGCGAUUUUUUUAAAGUUAGUCGAAUUAUCUGAAAAGAUAAACCAAAGGAAGUGAAAGUCUUGUAGACGAAAGCUUUAAGAAACGAGAGGGAAAGUAUCACCGGGCACGAGUAACCCGGUGUGAAGAUAGGGGGCCCAUCCCCUAAGGCUAAAUACUAACAUGUGACCGAUAGUGAACAAGUACCGUGAGGGAAAGGUGAAAAGAACCCCGAAAGGGGAGUGAAAUAGAACCUGAAACCUAGUGCCUACAAGCAGACAGAGCGUGAGCGAACGUGAUGUCGUACCUUUUGUAGAAUGGGCCAGCGAGUUAUUCUAUAUUGCAAGGUUAAUGAUUUAAGAUCAGAAGCCGUAGCGAAAGCGAGUCUUAAUAGGGCGAAAGUAAGAUGGAAUAGACCCGAAACCGGGUGAUCUAUCCAUGGUCAGAGUGAAGUUGAAGUAAAAUUCAAUGGAGGCUCGAACCGGGUGCGGUUUAAAACGCAUCGGAUGAACUGUGGAUAGGGGCGAAAAACCAAACGAACCCGGAGAUAGCUGGUUCUCCUCGAAAU
rnacentral:rRNA from 1 species